GUGCUGCUCACUUCAGCAGCACACGUACUGAAAUUGAAAUGAUACAGAAAUUAACAUGGUUCCUAUGCAAGAAUGACCCACAAAUUUGUGGAGCACAUGUUUGACUU